GGUGGCGUGUCCGAGCGGCCGAAGGUGUGCAGCACUCGAAAUGCUGUGUACGGUAACCCCGUACCGAGGGUUCAAAUCCCUCCGCCACCGCCA
rnacentral:tRNA from 1 species